rnacentral:lncRNA from 1 species
CCUCAGCGGCCCUGCGUGCAUCCCUCAGCAACCCCACGUCCCUCAGCGCCCCCGCGUGCGUCCCCACGUCACUCAGGGGCCCUGCGUGCGUCCGCUCAGUGGCCGGGUGUAUGUCCCCUCAGCGGUCCAGCAUGUAGGUUGUGUGGUGUUGCUUUUCGAGGUGGUUUGUGAUGCUUGGGUUUCUUCCUGGACAGCGCCCCGUCUUGCCCUCACGGGAACUGGGACAGAUGCGGUUGUCCCCCGACCCCCUCCUCGCGAGGCUCCAGCACCGGCUGUGUGGGCCACCAGGCCUGCCCCACAUGGACAGGGCUGCGGAGGGGCUGGCUCCACAGCCCACGGCGGGGCCUCUGGCCAGGUUCUCCCUCCCCUGGCAGUGGCUGUGACGCUUAUGCCCAGUUGGACAGCCCAGACCAGGCUCGGAGCCCCAUCCCCUCCAAGGCGGGCCGGGGUAGAUUCACGCCAGCGUCUCCCUUGAGGCCAGGCUCUGGCAUAGGAGAGUGAUUCCUCUGGGAGGUCCGGGGUCCCGAGCCCCGGGAAUGCCGGCUGAGGGGCACGCGACCCCUCUUCACGGAACCCUCAUGCGCUGAGGCGGCCGCAGAGGCCCGGUGACCAGCAGGGCGCCCGAUGGUGGGCGGGGGGCCAGCGCGCGGGGGCGCCGGCAGCCGGGAGGACAGCGGGGUGCUGGGUUUCUUAGGGAGGGUCUGCCUGCUCCCUGCUACCCGGCCAUCCCAGGGCCCGGCCAGCGCCUGCUGCUCUCUCCACCCACCCGCCCCUGGCCCCUGCCCGCGAAGGCCUCUGCUGUUUCAGCAGGAGGCUCUGUGAGUCUCGGUGCAGCUGUGAGCUGCAUUGCCCAAGUGCAGGUGCCCGGCAAUGUCCUCCACAGCCGUGUCCUCACUCCCAGCAUCGUGGGCACAUGGUCCAUAUUCAGUGUUUAUUGAAUGAAAGAAAGAAUUAGCCUGACUUUG